CAACCCUCAAGCACUGCUUGGUAUUGGGUGCCACCACUGUGGUGCAUCUUAAAAGUAUUGGCGGUAGCACUUGGCUUCUAGCAUAGUAAUUUCCUUGCUUUGGAGUCUGGAUGUCUAGCUGUUAGAACCCCUAAAUCAUUAA
rnacentral:misc_RNA from 1 species